AUUGAACGCUGGCGGCAGGCCUAACACAUGCAAGUCGAACGGUAGCACAGGAGAGCUUGCUCUCUGGGUGACGAGUGGCGGACGGGUGAGUAAGGCAUGGGGAGCUGCCCAAUCGAGGGGGAUACCAGCUGGAAACGGCUGCUAAUACCGCAUACGCCCUGAGGGGGAAAGGUGGGGACCUUCGGGCCUACCGCGAUUGGAUGCACCCAUGUGGGAUUAGCUAGUUGGUGAGGUAACGGCUCACCAAGGCGACGAUCUCUAGCUGGUCUGAGAGGAUGACCAGCCACACUGGAACUGAGACACGGUCCAGACUCCUACGGGAGGCAGCAGUGGGGAAUAUUGCACAAUGGGGGAAACCCUGAUGCAGCCAUGCCGCGUGUGUGAAGAAGGCCUUCGGGUUGUAAAGCACUUUCAGUGGGGAGGAAGGGGAGUAAGCUAAUACCUUACUUCAUUGACGUUACCCACAGAAGAAGCACCGGCUAACUCCGUGCCAGCCGCCGCCGUAACAC
rnacentral:rRNA from 1 species